GAGUUUGAUCGUGGCUCAGAUUGAACGCUGGCGGCAUGCCUUACACAUGCAAGUCGAACGGCAGCACGGGAGCUUGCUCCUGGUGGCGAGUGGCGAACGGGUGAGUAAUGCAUCGGAACGUAUCCUGGAGUGGGGGAUAACGUAGCGAAAGUUACGCUAAUACCGCAUAUUCUGUGAGCAGGAAAGCGGGGGACCUUCGGGCCUCGCGCUCUUGGAGCGGCCGAUGUCGGAUUAGCUAGUUGGUGAGGUAAAGGCUCACCAAGGCGACGAUCCGUAGCAGGUCUGAGAGGAUGAUCUGCCACACUGGAACUGAGACACGGUCCAGACUCCUACGGGAGGC
rnacentral:rRNA from 1 species